AAAAUAGACCGCUACGCUUAUGCCGAGUCGUCACGACAUCGUUUUUCCUUUUCUUCUCUUUCCCUCCCCUCCCCCUUUCUCUCUCUAUACGUACAGCCUCCUAUCUCUAUAUCUCGCCGCUUUCUCUCUCUCAAACCUCUCGCUGUGUCUUUGAUUGGGAAAAACUCCGCAGGUUACGGGAUCCGGGAAUAGAAGCCCUAGAAAUGAAAUAAAGCGGAAUAAAUAGGGGCUUUUGCGAAUUGGACCGAUCUAGGGUUUUUUCAGUGGUUUGAUCGGGAAAUUAGGAUCGUUUUUUAUUUUCUUGACAUAUUAGGGUUUUAAAAAGGUAACCUACAGUUUCUGGGGAUUGUGAAUGAGAUAUAGGUAUUGGCUAGGAGUUGGCGAUUUUGAUUGAGGUGUACAUUUGAGGGCGAAUCGGCAGAAUUUGACGCCUGAAUUUGGGGAAAAUGCAAAAACCAUUGCUUUAUUAUGCAUGGGAGGGUUCAGCGGGACAGCGAGAGCUGUAAGAGUUUGCGGAGGAGUAAUAGUCAGCACAUGCGGCCAGUCCUUCCAUCGGCGACAACUGUAACUGCCGCAGGUGAUAAUCAUUCUCCUAUUGCUUCUUCCAUCACGACCUCCACCACUGGCGGUUCUUUCUUCAAGGACGGUCGCAAAUUUACUGUUGGUGAUUGUGCUCUUUUCAAGCCACCUAAAAAUUCCCCUCCGUCCAUUGGAUUAAUUCGCUGGUUGGCAUUUGACAAAGAAAAUAUAUUGAAGUUAGGUGUGAAUUGGCUUUAUCGAUCAUCUGAACUGAAGCUGGGAAAAGGCCAUCUGUUGGACACUGCACCCAACGAAAUUUUCUAUUCCUUUCACAAGGACGAAACUUCUGCUGCAUAUCUACUCCAUCCAUGCAAAGUUGCAUUUCUUCCUAGAGGUGUAGAACUUCCUGUGGGGACAGCUGCCUUUGUUUGUCGACGAGCCUAUGACAUUUCAAACAAGCGUCUGUGGUGGCUAACAGAUCAAGAUUGCAUUAAUGAGCAGCAAGAAGAGGUAGAUAAGCUUUUAUUCAAAACUAAGACAGAGAUGCAUGUGACACUGCAGCCUGGUGGUCGUUCCCCAAAGCAAGUUAAUGGUCCAACUUCAACUUCACAACUUAAAUCUGCUCCUGAUGGUGGUCAAAAUAAUGGGAAUUCUUUUCAUUCUCAAGCCAGGGGUAAGAAGAGGGAAAGAGGUGACCAUGGUGCAGAUCCUAUCAAACGAGAACGUUCUUCAUCAAGGAUUGAUGAUUGUGAUCUAGUUCAGUGCAAAACUGAAAGUAGUUUGAAAAAUGAGAUUGCUCGCAUAACAGAAAAAGGUGGAGUUGUUGAUUUGGAAGGGGUUGAUAAGCUCAUCCAGUUGAUGCAACUGGAUGGAAUUGAUAAAAAAAUGGACUUGGUAAAUGGAAUGGAGAGAAAAAUAGAUUUGGCAGGCCGUUCCAUGCUUACCAGUGUAAUGGCUUCCACUGAGAAGGUUGACUGCCUCAAUCGGUUUGUGCAACUCAAGGGUUUACCUGUUUUGGAUGAAUGGUUACAGGAUAUUCAGAAAGGGAAAGUCGUGGAUUGUAGUAAUCCAAAGGAUAGUGAUAAAUACGUGGAAGAAUUUCUGUUGAUUUUACUUCGUGCACUAGAUAAACUGCCAGUUAAUCUUCAUGCCCUGCAAAUGUGCAACAUUGGCAGAUCCGUGAAUCAUUUACGAUCACAUAAAAAUGUAGAAAUUCAGAGAAAAGCACGAACUUUAGUCGACACAUGGAAGAAACGUGUUGAAGCUGAAAUGAACAUGAUUGAUGCAAAGUCUGGUUCAACCCAAGCCACAGCUGCGUGGCCUUCCAAAUCACGUCUCCCAGAGGCUUCUCAUGGUGGAAGCAAAACCCCUAGUGGGUCUGAUAUUGCCAUGAAAAGCUCAAUUUCUCAGAAUUCUGCUGCCAAAACUACUUCACUUAGAUAUUUAAAUGGGGAAAAUGUCUUAAAGUAUGCAUCCUCUUCGCCUGGGGCUGUGAAAUCUGCUACGUUGAUUGCUUCUGGAAAGGAUAGCCAACCCAACACUUCUGUUGGAGGCAGUGCUGAUGCUCCUCAGAUUAGGGAGGAUAGAAGCAGUAGUUCUAAUCAGUCUCAUAGUUACGGUCAGUCUAUCUCGGUGAAGGAUGAUAUGAAAAGCUUCACUUCGGGUUCAGUGACUGUUAAUAAGACUUCAAGUAGUAGUACUCGUAAUCGAAAACUUAGUGGUUCUUCAGGGGUAUCAGCAUCUGGAAAUCAGAAAGAGAACAGCUCCAGCAAAGUUUCUUCAGCACACAAAAAUACUGCUUUAGAGAAAUUGUCUCAGACCUCAUUAACAAAUGAGAGGGUUGUUGAGGGGCCCAUCAACGAAGGGAGCAGUCAUAAACUAAUUGUUAAGAUAGGAAACAGAGUAAGAAGUCCUGCCCAAGGUAUGAAUGGAGGAUCUCUGGAAGAUCCUACCAUAAAGAGCAGCCGAGCUUCUUCUCCUGUGCUUAUGAACAAAAGCGAGCAGUUUGAUCAUGCUUCAAAGGACAAGAGUGAUACACAUCGUUGCAUUAUUGCUUCAGGUACAGAUGCAUGGCAAUAUAAAGAUCCAAAAGUUGAAUUGACUGAAACGGACGGUGGUCAGUCAUCUGCUGUUCUUCCUGGUGAGGAGCAAGGCAUGGCCACUGAAGACUGCAAGAGAAUAGUAGAGGGACUUCCAACAAACCAAUUAAAUUCAGAAAAAUUACACAAAUCUUCUUUUAGCCCUAUGAAUGCAUUAAUUGAGAGUUGUGCAAAGUAUUCUGAAGCAGCUUCCUCCUUAUCACUUGAAGAUGAUGUUGGAAUGAACUUACUUGCUAGCGUGGCAGCUGGAGAAAUGUCUAGAUCUGAUGUUAUUUCUCCUGCUGAUUCUAUGGAAAAAAGUGCUCAUGCGGUCGAGGAAGUUUGUGCUGGUGAUGAAGCAAAAUCCAAGUCUACCCCUGAGGAAUGCUCUUCGGUGGUGCAAAAACAGUUCAGUGAAUCUGACUGUGCUGGAAAGAAACAGGCUGUUGCAUCACUUGAGUUUUCAGGUGAUAGAAAGUGUGUUGCUUCUCAUUCUUCUGAAGAUAUUGAUGCUGGAGAGCAAGCAAAAGAAAUUGGUUCAACUAACAUAGAUUUGAGAAGCAGUGUUGACCAUGACUUGGAGACUACUCAGAAGCCAAAUGAAAGGACGGAUACCUCCUCUUUCACACCUCCCAUCUCUGUUGAAAGGGGAAAGGAUGGUGAAUCAAAUGAAGGAGUCCACAAGGAGAAGGCUGAUAUUGAUAAUAGUUCUACUGGUAACUUGAACUGUAGAAAUGGUGGAGGGGAUGUCCUGGUAUCUGAAGAAAAAGAUGGUGAUCUUUCAAGAGUUGAUGAGUGUAAGCCAUUGGUUGAAGUUUCUGGAUCAAAGCCAUGUAAUCAAGGUGAUUGCAAUAUGGUUGUAGAUGAGGGAUUGAACAGGACAACUGAUGCAGAACAGAAGCUGACUGAUGCAACUGUUCAGUCCGAAAUUGCAGAAACAGCUGACUCUGAAAAUCUACACCAACCUGAACGUGACCAGUUACCACUGCCAGAAGGUGAUGAUGCAGAAAAAGUAGGGGAACUUAAUGAUGGGGCUGCAAAUAGUUGCAUGAGCAAGUCUGGAAGACUGAACAUUGAGAAGGAAGUGGACAAGGAGGCAGCUGAUGAAAGUCAUACUGUGUCUGAUUUGUGUUCCACAUCUCAUGAUCUCAACUGUCAUCAUAUAAAGGAUGAUGUAGAAAACCAGGUGAUUCCAAAUCAUACAUCAGUGCCUGAGAGCAGGUCUUCUGGUGCAGCAGAGCAUGAAGAUCAGGUGGAGGCUGAGUUGACCGGAUCCAAGUCUGUUAGCAUUCGGCCAGAUGAGGCUAACAAAUAUGCUCUCAGCGGUUCUGGGGCUGCUUCUCCCUCUGCUGCAGGAGAAACAGAUCCAGGUGCAAAAUUGAAGUUUGACUUGAACGAAGGGUUUUGUGCCGAUGAUGGGAAAUAUGGGGAGUCCAUGAGUUCUAGAUCCUCAGUUCCAGCAACUGUUCAAGUGAUUAACUCAUUACCAUUUUCUGUGAAGUCCAUCCCAAGUGGCCAUUCUGGCUUCAUAACUGUAGCUGCAGCUGCCAAAGGCCCAUUUGUUCCUCCAGAGGAUUUAUUGAAAAGUAGAGUGGAACUUGGAUGGAAGGGUUCUGCUGCCACCAGUGCAUUUCGACCUGCUGAACCCAGAAAAGUUCUUGAAACCUCGUCAAGUCCAACAAUUGUGUCUUGCCCUGAUGUUUCUACCAGUAAACAUGAGCGUGUCCCUUUGGAUAUUGAUCUAAAUGUCCCAGACGAAAGAGUUCUGGAGGAAAUGACUUGUCGAGGUUCUACUUUGGCUAUUGAUUCGGUAUCACCAAGUAGCCGUGGCACAUUGCUAAAUGAGCCAUCAGAUUCUCUGCGUGUUCUUGGUUCUGGUGGGCUGGAUCUUGAUUUGAACAGAGUUGAUGAUGCAAAUGAUGCUGGGCACUGCUCAACCAGCAGCAAUCCUAAAGGUGAGGCUUCCGUAUUGCAUACUAACCGGCUAGAUAGUUUACAUGUUUGGAGGGAUUUUGAUCUCAACAAUGGACCUUUAGUCGACGAUGGUAGUACUGAGGAAUUCCCAUUUAUUAAUCAGCUAGUCAGGAGUGGUACGUCUCAGUUGCCUUCUGCAAGUCUUAGAACGAACAGUUCGGUGAUGGGCAGUUUCUCAUCUUGGUUUCCUCCUGGCAAUGCGUACUCAACACUGGCAAUCCCAUCAAUGGUACCUGAGCGAGGUGAGCAACCAUUUUCAGUUUUUCCACCUGGUGCAUCCCAGAGAACAUUUGGGCCUACUGGUGUUGCUCCAUUUAAUCCUGAGGUGUUCCGUGGAUCAGUAUUAUCAUCAUCGCCUGCAGUGCCAUACCCAUCCGGUCCUUUCCAGUUACCUGUAUAUCCUUAUGGGACCUCAAUUCCUCUCCCAUCAGCCACUUUUUCUGUUGGCGCGGCCUCAUAUGUAGAUUCUUCUGCUGCAAGGCCCUUUGCAUCUCCAGUAAAUUCACAGUAUCUGGGUCCUGUUGGUUCGGUGACAUCUCCAUUUCAGAGGCCAUAUAUGGUUACCUUUCCCGACAUUAGUAAUAACAGCAUGCUAGAGAGCAACAGACAGUGGAGCAGACAGGGUCUGGACCUUAAUUCAGGCCCUGGAGCUGUAGAAAGUGAUGUUAGAGAGGAGAUGUUGCCUCUUUCGUCAGGCCAGCAUUCUGUUGCCACUUCGCAAGGUUUAGCGGAGGAGCAGGCUAGGAUUUUUUCUGUUUCAGGCGGUAUUUUGAAAAGGAAGGAGCCUGAUGGAGGCUGGGAAAAUGAGACAUUCAGACGCAAGCAGUCUUCAUGGCAGUAGAGUAUAAACAUCUGCAACAUAACAAUUCGUAGGAUCCUGGAAUGGAGGAGGCUGUCAAUGUUGUGAGGUGAAGUGCUGAUUCUCAUCAACUUUGCUGUAACUGUAGUUCUGAAGCCAAUUUACUAUCAUCUUGAUGGAUUUUUCUUCAGAGGACGGAUGGCUUGUUAGUAGAUCUCUUAUGUCUUAGUCCUGCCCUCACCUCUUCUGCUUGACUGACUGCAAUAUUCCAUAGCAUUGGGGUGGACUUUUUGUGGGCGGCAUAUACUCAUGCCUACUGUAGAUAUUCUUACUGCAAAAAACCAAAAAAAAGAAACAUAAACUUCUGGUGCCUAGGCACUGAAGGUCGUAAAUUAAAGUAGUUUUUGGUGCGACAUCCUAACCCUUCUGAGGAGGCUGAUCUUAGCACCGAUGGAAUUGAAGCCCUUCGGAAUUUCGACUUGCCUUAUUUUUUUCGCUUGUUAACAUCUUCAUCCUUAUUUUCCCCAUAUACAUAUAUAUGUAUGUGUGGGGUUCAUCGUAAUUAUGUUACAAUUUUUUAUUAUCUUGCGCCUCGUUCUAGUAGUGAUGGCUAUGGUAUUGUGAGUCUGUACUUUACCUUUUCAUCGUAGUGCAGUCAUACUCAAAUACCUGUCAUCUAUGUGCCGAUGAAGAAAUUUUGAUUGCAAUCAUGUGAUGAUUUUACAUCGGAUGCUGGGAUUACAGAUGAAUACAAAUGAUUAUACUCUUCCAUAA